AUUGAACGCUGGCGGCAGGCCUAACACAUGCAAGUCGAGCGGAGAGGCGGACGGGUGAGUAAUGCCUAGGAAUCUGCCUGGUACUGGGGGAUAACGUCCGGAAACGGGCGCUAAUACCGCAUACUAUCAGAUGAGCCUAGGUCGGAUUAGCGAGCUGGUGGGGUAAAGGCCUACCAAGGCGUCGAUCCGUAAAUGGUCUGAGAGGAUGAUCAGUCACACGGGAAAGGAGACACGGUCCAGACUCGUCCGGGAGGCAGCAGUAGGGAAUAUUCGACAAUGGGCGAAAGCCUGAUCCCGCCAUGCCGCGUGUGUUAAGAAGGUCUUCGGAUUGUAAAGCACUUUAAGUUGGGAGGCGUUACCAACAGAAUAAGCACCGGCUAACUUCGUGCCAGCGGCCGCGGUAAUAC
rnacentral:rRNA from 1 species